CAGCAGCCGCGGUAAUACGAAGGUCCCGAGCGUUGUUCGGAAUCACUGGGCGUAAAGGGAGCGUAGGCGGCGUGGUAAGCCAGAUGUGAAAUCCCGGGGCUCAACCCCGGAACUGCAUCCGAUACUGCCAUGCUAGAGGAUUGGAGAGGUAGCUGGAAUUCUUGGUGUAGCAGUGAAAUGCGUGGAGAUCAAGAGGAACACUCGUGGCGAAAGCGAGCUACUGGACAAUAACUGACGCUGAGGCUCGAAGGCCAGGGUAGCGAAAGGGAUUAGAUACCCGUGUAGUCCCUGUCUCUUAUAC
rnacentral:rRNA from 1 species